rnacentral:rRNA from 1 species
GUCGUAACAAGGUUUCCGUAGGUGAACCUGCGGAAGGAUCAUUAAAGAGUAAGGGUGCUCAGCGCCCGACCUCCAACCCUUUGUUGUUAAAACUACCUUGUUGCUUUGGCGGGACCGCUCGGUCUCGAGCCGCUGGGGAUUCGUCCCAGGCGAGCGCCCGCCAGAGUUAAACCAAACUCUUGUUAUUUAACCGGUCGUCUGAGUUAAAAUUUUGAAUAAAUCAAAACUUUCAACAACGGAUCUCUUGGUUCUCGCAUCGAUGAAGAACGCAGCGAAAUGCGAUAAGUAAUGUGAAUUGCAGAAUUCAGUGAAUCAUCGAAUCUUUGAACGCACAUUGCSCCCCUUGGUAUUCCGAGGGGCAUGCCUGUUCGAGCGUCAUUACACCACUCAAGCUAUGCUUGGUAUUGGGCGUCGUCCUUAGUUGGGCGCGCCUUAAAGACCUCGGCGAGGCCACUCCGGCUUUAGGCGUAGUAGAAUUUAUUCGAACGUCUGUCAAAGGAGAGGAACUCUGCCGACUGAAACCUUUAUU